UACAGAGACUGCAAGCGUUAUUCGGAUUCACUGGGCGUAAAGGGUGCGCAGGCGGCCGAGUGUGUGAGGCGUGAAAGCCCGGGGCUUAACCCCGGAAUUGCACCUCAAACUACACGGCUAGAGCAUUGGAGAGGGUAGCAGAAUUCAUGGUGUAGCAGUGAAAUGCGUAGAUAUCAAGUGGAACACCAGUGGCGAAGGCGAGUCCCUGGACACUUCCUGACACUGAGGCACGAAAGCUAGGGGAGCAAACAGG
rnacentral:rRNA from 1 species